UACAGAGGGGGCAAGCGUUGUUCGGAAUUACUGGGCGUAAAGGGCGCGUAGGCGGCCUUCUAAGUCGAACGUGAAAUCCCCGGGCUCAACCCGGGAACUGCGUCCGAUACUGGAAGGCUUGAAUCCGGGAGAGGGAUGCGGAAUUCCAGGUGUAGCGGUGAAAUGCGUAGAUAUCUGGAGGAACACCGGUGGCGAAGGCGGCAUCCUGGACCGUACCUGACGCUGAGGCGCGAAGGCUAGGGGAGCGAACGGG
rnacentral:rRNA from 1 species